GAUGAACGCUGGCGGCGUGCCUAAUACAUGCAAGUCGAGCGAACAGACGAGGAGCUUGCUCCUUCGACGUUAGCGGCGGACGGGUGAGUAACACGUAGGUAACCUACCUAUAAGACUGGGAUAACUUCGGGAAACCGGAGCUAAUACCGGAUAAUAUUUCGAACCGCAUGGUUCGAUAGUGAAAGAUGGCUUUGCUAUCACUUAUAGCUGGACCUGCGCCGUAUUAGCUAGUUGGUAAGGUAACGGCUUACCAAGGCAACGAUACGUAGCCGACCUGAGAGAGUGAUAGGCGACACGGGAACUGAGACGCGGACCAGACUACUACGAGAGGCAGCAGUAGGGAAUCUGCCGCAAUGGGCGAAAGCCUGACGGAGCAACGGCGCGUGAGUGAUGAAGGUCUUCGGAUCGUAAAACUCUGUUAUUAGGGGAGAACAAACGUGUAAGUAACUGUGCACGUCUUGACGGUACCUGAUCAGAAAGCCACGGCUAACUACGUG
rnacentral:rRNA from 1 species